UUGUUUUGGCAGACAUCACCAUUGGAUGACUAGACAUCUUUGUCUAUAAUCAGUAAAGCAAUGAAUUAAUUCAACGACAGAAUGUUAAGGGUUCGAAAAAAUGCGAUGGGGUGCUGAAAAGUUCUUGGCAUUGGAUAUCAGAAAAUACGGGAGGAUCAAUUAUUUAUGAUUGUAUUCAACGUAUUACCUUCUCAGAUUCACACAUUUAUUGCAGCGGUCCUUCAAUUUUUCUAAGCCCCGUAAAAGAACUUGGAAGUUUGGGCAUCCAACCAGGCCUUUCGCCAUACCCUUAAAGCCGGGAACUUUUCAGUACUUCUUCGUAAAUACCAGCAAAAUACUGGUUGAAAUAUCAAUGUUUAUAGUACUACUGUUAGAAAUCCUUAAUAUCAUAGUGUUACAACUUUACAAUCACUUGGUAGCAGAAAUAGUACAGCGUAUAUAAAAGUAUCUUGAAAUACUUAUUUAGACUCGUUUACUGUCUAAAUUAAAAUGACAUCGGAUACAAAUUUGCCUUCUACCUCUUCAAAAUCAAUAGCAUACUAGCCCUAUCAUGUACUAUAGUAUUUUAAAUCUCACUGCCUCUCCCCAUCAAAAUAUCGACGCUCUUGCUAUUGUAAAAAUAAUUAUUCAUAUGAUUAGAGCGGUAAAUGACAAGAUAAAUAUAUAAUUAUGUGUAUAUUCAUGGAUGUAAUGGAUGAUGCACACGUUGAGAAGGAACAAACGAUGCUUAAUUUUCUGGAAAGAUUUUAAGUCACGUAUUAGGAUAAAUAUCUAAACUGAGAUGAUGUAAAAUGGUAUAGUGUUAUCAAUUCAGAAUUUCCUAUACAGAUACGGAAAUUCGUUUGACCGGUCAUGGCUGAUAUUUGCAGUGCCCGAUAAAACUUUCCUCUAGUGUAUUGAUGGAAUAAGUCUUUAUACCUAAUAACUGCUAUUACUUAUAUAGAUUUUGUUGGAGUCUAAAUUUUAAAUAUUACCAGCUUAAAUAAUGACUUGUUCUAUCUUUUAUUUCUCCCUGAACAAAUUCUAAACGUAAAUAAAAAACUAAACUAUAGAAGUGUGCUUGCCGAAUUAUUCAGCGUUGGCAAAAGUGCUUGGUAGAUAGUUAGAGCCAUAAAGUAUGCCAAAUCUACUGUUUUUAAAGUUGUAGCCAAUUUGAAGAAAAGGAAGGAUGUUCAUAGAAAGGCUCACCGAAAACGCAUAACUCGCUUUUUAACAGGAAUUAAAAGAUCGAAUGAGUUGAACCCAUGAAAAUCGAUGGCGAAGUUGGCUCAAGAUCGAGGAAUCAGUAAAAUGACCGGUUCUAGGACUGUGAGAAAGACCUCCAUAUAUGAAAUUGUACGUAAAGAGACACCGUAACAUUCUAACUACCUGCUCCAAAGCUAUUCGAACUGAAAGAAGUCCUAAACGUCUUUGUCACCUGAAACAUAGUGGCGGAGACGUCCACAGUUUCGUGCAUGAAAAAAAAUUUCAAGGUAGAUGAAGUUGCAAACCAUUAAGACACACGAGGGAUAGCGUACAACCAUUCACAAGUUCCUUCAGCUAUGCAUAGCAAGAAUCCGGCUUCCAUUAUGGUCUUUGGAGCUGUUGCAAGUGAUGGGAGAUUGAUGCUUCCCCAUUUUAUUGAAGUGGGUCUUAAAAUCAACACAGCAAAGUAUCUCAAAAUCUUAAAAGAAGUUUUGUUGCCUUGAUUCAAGAGGUAUUAUGAUGCAAGUCGAGUCAUGUUUGUACAGGAUUCUGUGCCUGCCCAUUUUUCAAAACGAGUGCAAGAACUUGAAGAAGGAAUUGCCCAUUUUUGUCCCUAAAGGUAUCUAGCCCUCUAGCUCACCAGAUUUGAACCCGUGUGAUUCUUUGCUAUGUGGCACAGGUGAAGCAAUAUCCAACGCAGCUUAUCACGGCUGUGUGUCUUCACUGAAGGCCUCGAUCAAACGAUCAUUCGGCAAAAUUAAAUAGGAAGAAAUAAUUAAGGUCUGCACCUCAUUUUGUAAACGGAUUGAACCGGUAAAGAAAGCAAAUGACGGUCACAUUAAACUGAAAUAAAUGCUAAACACUCCGCAAUAAAUUGGCACAAACAUAAAAUUUGCAGUGUUUGAUUUUUCCGAGUUAUACCAAUUAUAAUAAAAAUAUUUAAAUGGUCCCAA